CCUACGGGUGGCAGCAGUGGGGAAUAUUGGACAAUGGCCGAAAGGCUGAUCCAGCGACGCCGCGUGCGGGAUGAAGGCCUUCGGGUUGUAAACCGCUUUUGCUCACGAGGAAUUUCUGACUGUAGUGAGCGAAUAAGAGGUUGCUGACUCUGUGCCAGCAGCAGCGGUAAUACAGAGACCUCAAGCGUUAUCCGGAUUCAUUGGGCGUAAAGCGUACCGAUCGGCGGUUUCAAAAGUCCGGGGUUAAAUCCAGGGGCCCAACCUCUGGACCGCUUCGGAUACUAUGAGACUAGAGGGGCAAAGAGGUGCUUGGAACGAACGGUGUAGCAGUGAAAUGCGUUGAUAUCGUUCGGAACACCGAUAGCGAAGGCAGAGCACUGGGUGCCUCCUGACGCUGCUAGGACGAAAGCGUGGGUAGCGAAUGGGAUUAGAUACCCGGG
rnacentral:rRNA from 1 species